GUUAGUCUUUGGAGUCAGGGUGACUCCCAACAUUCCCCCCUCUUUGUUAUUAAAUGAGAGUGGGUGUUUACUCAUUCUGGCUGCUUCCUGCUGAGAUGGGGCAGCGUGGGAGAAUAGGAGGGAAGUAGGGAGCCCCCACAAGAGGGCAGAGAGAACUGGAAUAACUUCAGGAACCAGAUCAAUGAAGAUUCCUUGCCACCGCAGAUCCAUGAAGAUGUCAGUCCAUUGGGCAUAGAUCUCAACUGAAGACACCACUCAUCCUUCAGGACUCCCUGGACCUCACUAGGGCAGGACCCCAACAAUUGGCACCCGAACCAGGAUGCAGAUUCCCCCAUUUGGAUUCCUGACAGAAUGAUUCGACCCUAUGUCCAGCUUCCGGACCAGAAAGCAGAACAGAUCGUGCCCUCCGAGUCUCCGAUACUCCUCACCAUUGAUCACGGUGCCUGAGGAAGAUUUGAUGACUACCUUGAUUCCAUCUCUCUCCCGAAUGAACUUUGAUGAUCCUCAAUCCUUAUUCAGAUGAGUAUCUUCUACAAGAUCUACAGAACUGCCAACUUGGGGACAAUUAAAAUGAUUGACUCAUCAA